AUUGAACGCUGGCGGCAGGCCUAACACAUGCAAGUCGAACGAGUGGCGGACGGGUGAGUAAUGUCUGGGAAACUGCCUGAUGGAGGGGGAUAACUACUGGAAACGGUAGCUACUACCGACUACCUUCGGAUGUGCCCAAAUGGGAUUAGCUAGUAGGUGGGGUAACGGCUCACGCAGGCGCCGAGCCCUAGCUGGUCUGAGAGGAUGACCAGCCACACUGGAACUGAGACACGGUCCAGACGCCUACGGGAGGCAGCAGUGGGGAAUAUUGCACAAUGGGCGCAAGCCUGAUGCAGCCAUGCCGCGUGUAUGAAGAAGGUCUUCGGGUUGUAAAGUACUUUCAGCGGGGAGGCGUUACCCGCAGAAGAAGCACCGGCUAACUCCGUGCCAGCAGCCGCGGUAAUUC
rnacentral:rRNA from 1 species